UCGACCUGCUCCAAGAUCAAAACCGGUAUACGGCGGCGACGGCGAUGGCCGGCUUUUCGGUGCUCACAUCGGCGAGCACCACCACCACCACUUGCGUCGUCGGCCUCAUGCUCUUGGCCGUCUGCUACGAGCCAGUCGCCGCCUUGUCGUUCAACUACUCCAACUUCGGGCCGGACGAGCAAAAGAACAUCAGGCUGGAAGGCGACGCCGCGUUCAGCGCCGACGUCUCCUUCAGCGGCGACGGCGGCGGGUGGAUCGACAUCAGCGCCAACAGGCUGGACGGCAGCAUCGCCCACAGCAGGGGGCGGGCCUCCUACGCCCUGCCGAUCCCUCUCUGGGACAGGGACACCGGCGAGGUGGCCAGCUUCACCACGCGCUUCUCCUUCGACAUCUACCCGCCGCCGCCGGCGGGCAUCAACAACAAGGGCGCCGGCAUGGCCUUCUUCCUCGCCUGCUACCCGUCAAGGCUGCCGUCGGCCGGCUCCUACGCCUACAACCUCGGCCUCACCAACCAAACCGCCGACCAAGUGGCCGCCGGCGACGACCGCUUCGUCGCCGUCGAGUUCGACACCUUCAACGACACCAUCGUGCACGACCCCCACGACACCUACGACCACCUCGGCAUCGACGUCAACUCCGUCGUCUCCAAGAAAACCCUGACCUUGCCCAGCUUCAGCAUCGUCGGGAACAUGACCGCCGUCGUCGAGUACGACAACGUCACCAGCAUCCUGGCUAUGCAGCUGCAGCUCGGCUAUGGCCUUAGCGGCCCCCGGCACCGGCCGCCGUACAACCUUAGCUACAAGGUUGACCUCAAGAGCGUCUUGCCGGAGCAGGUCUCCAUCGGCUUCUCCGCCGCGACGUCCACCUCCGUUGAGCUGCAUCAGCUGCGUUCCUGGUACUUCAGCUCGUCGUUGGAGCCUAAGGUGGCGUCGCCGUCGCCGUCACCUUCACCACCUUCCCCGACCUCGGCCACCUCCAGUGGGGUCGUAGCGGGAGCCACCGUCGGUGCAGCAGUGUUCGCCGUUCUCCUCUUCGCCAUGGUAGCAGCAGUCCUCGUACGGCGGCGUCGGAUAAAGAAGAUGAGGGAGGCGGAGGACGACGACGACGACUCGGAAGGCGAUCCCAUCAUGGAGAUCGAGAACGGCACGGGGCCGAGGCGGUUCCCAUACCACAAGCUCGUGAGCGCAACGAAGAGCUUCGCGGCGGAGGAGAAGCUCGGCCAAGGAGGCUUCGGGGCGGUGUACCGGGGCUACCUGAGAGAGCAGGGCCUCGCCGUCGCCAUUAAGCGGUUCAUCAAAAACUCCUCCAAGCAAGGGAGGACGGAGUACAAGUCGGAGAUCAAAGUGAUUAGCCGGCUGCGCCACCGCAACCUGGUGCAGCUCAUCGGCUGGUGUCAUGGCCGCAGCGAGCUCCUCCUCGUCUACGAGCUCGUCCCCAACGGCAGCCUCGACGCCCAUCUCUACGGCAAUGGCACCUUCCUCACAUGGCCAAUGAGGAUCAACAUUGUUCUUGGUCUCGGAUCCGCAUUGCUCUACCUCCACGAGGAGUGGGAGCAAUGCGUCGUGCACCGCGACAUCAAGCCGAGCAAUGUCAUGCUAGAUGAAUCCUUCAACGCGAAGCUCGGCGACUUCGGCCUCGCGAGGCUGAUCGAUCAUGCCGUUGGCAUACAGACGAUGACCCACCCUUCGGGGACGCCGGGCUACGUCGAUCCCGAGUGCGUGAUCACCGGCAAGGCCAGCGCCGAGUCCGACGUCUACAGCUUCGGCGUCGUUCUGCUGGAGGUGGCGUGUGGAAGGAGACCCAUGAGCCUGCUCGACGACCAGAACAAUGGCCUCUUCCGGCUGGUGGAGUGGGCAUGGGACCUGUAUGGCCGGGGAGCUGCUCUCAUGGCGGCCGACAAGCGCCUCGACGACGACUACGACAAGGCGGAGAUGGAGCGUGUGAUCGCCGUCGGGCUCUGGUGCGCGCACCCGGACCGGUGCGCUCGACCAUCGAUCAGAGCUGCCAUGGCCGUCCUCCAAGCGAAUGGAGCGCUGCCGGUGCUGCCGGCCAAGAUGCCCGUGCCGAUAUAUGCGCCGCCGCCGCCGGUGACCUCGUCGGAGGGGCAGCUCUCGUCGUCGACGGGGAUGUCAUCGUCGAGCUUGACGCAAACAGCAAUCUCACCUCGUUAGGCGGGUGAAGUACUAAGAUUUCUGCAGAUACAAGUCUACGAUGUUCUUGCCUUCAAUGCAUCAAAACGAUGGCUUUGGCCAGUUUACUUGUGUUUUGUCAAGUGUUAAAUAGACGAAUGGAGAUGGCGUCAGUGACGGAGGGCUGCCGCUGACUACGAGCGACGCUGCGACGAGGAGCAAAAGCAGCAGCGACGGUGGCAUCCAUAAUUCCAUUCGAGGGCUGGUUUUAUUAUUAUUAUUAUUUUAUUUUUUUUGGUGUUGGCCGAGAACGAGGCUGUUCGCGUCGCUCGGUUCCGUCCGAUGCCGAACGAACGGAGGAGAGUCUUUCGACGUCCCUCUGACGUAAGAGGAUCUGGUUCAUAAACAUGAAGAUAUUCCGACUAAGGGUGUAAUUGACCUGGUCCAUCAACCCGCUUAUACAUCAAUUAAGCGGGUAGCCUAGUAUAAACGGUUGGUGGAUCGGACCGCUUACACCCCCUAAUUCCGACAAAGACGUUACAACAAUCCCAAUUCUUGAAUCACUCCGCUUCAGUCUCGCAGAUAAGAUCAUAAACAGCGCACAUGAGUGCAUAGUGCAUAUGUUCCUGGGUUUUUGUAGGAAAAACAAAACAUAUAAGCAGAAUGAUAUAUGUGCUGUGCAGACAUCUUUCCACCAUUUGCUGCUCCCCUCAAAAAGAUUCCUAGAGGACCCACGCGCAAAUCAGAAGACAUUUCUACCACGGAAAAUAUGGGUGCUUUUCCCACGUCAUCCUUGAUCGAAGAGUAUUUUUCUCAUCCUUAAAAAGAUGUCUCCCAUUUCGUCAAUCAACUAGGUGUAACAAAAAAUAGAUGAAUCGGAACUUCCAGUGCUGUUUCAAAACUGGUCC